UACGUAGGUGGCAAGCGAUACUCGGAAUCACUAGGCGUAAAGCGCAGGUAGGCGGUUCGGUAAGUCUUUUGUGAAAGCUCCUGGCUCAACUGGGAGAGGUCAAGGGAAACUACCGGACUAGAGUGUGGUAGGGGAUACUGGAAUUCCUGGUGCAGCGGUGAAAUGCGUAGAUAUCAGGAGGAAUACCUAUGGCGAAAGCAGGUAUCUGGGCCAUCACUGACGCUGAGCUGCGAAAGCGUGGGGAGCAAACAGG
rnacentral:rRNA from 1 species